rnacentral:rRNA from 1 species
GACGAACGCUGGCGGCGUGCUUAACACAUGCAAGUCGAACGGAAAGGCCCUGCUUUUGUGGGGUGCUCGAGUGGCGAACGGGUGAGUAACACGUGAGUAACCUGCCCUUGACUUUGGGAUAACUUCAGGAAACUGGGGCUAAUACCGGAUAGGAGCUCCUGCUGCAUGGUGGGGGUUGGAAAGUUUCGGCGGUUGGGGAUGGACUCGCGGCUUAUCAGCUUGUUGGUGGGGUAGUGGCUUACCAAGGCUUUGACGGGUAGCCGGCCUGAGAGGGUGACCGGCCACAUUGGGACUGAGAUACGGCCCAGACUCCUACGGGAGGCAGCAGUGGGGAAUAUUGCACAAUGGGCGGAAGCCUGAUGCAGCAACGCCGCGUGCGGGAUGACGGCCUCCGGGUUGUAAACCGCUUUCGCCUGUGACGAAGCGUGAGUGACGGUAAUGGGGAAAGAAGCACCGGCUAACUACGU